rnacentral:rRNA from 1 species
UACGUAGGUGGCAAGCGUUGUCCGGAAUUACUGGGCGUAAAGGGCGUGUAGGCGGUUUUUUAAGUCAGGCGUGAAAACUAUGGGCUUAACCUGUAGACUGCGUUUGAGACUGAGAGACUUGAGGAUCGGAGAGGGCAGUGGAAUUCCCAGUGUAGCGGUGAAAUGCGUAGAUAUUGGGAGGAACACCAGUGGCGAAGGCGACUGCCUGGACGACACCUGACGCUGAGGCGCGAAAGCUAGGGGAGCAAACGGG